AUCUCUAUUUCAAGCAACAGGGUAGAAGGGCAGAAAAAGCAAGAAUAUUGGUGUAUGCUUGCUGUUUUUUGAGAAUGGUUUCUGUAAGUCAUUGCUUAAUAGGUUGCUUUCCUUAUAACUCAUUGUCUAGACCAUAGUAUGUAGGCAUGUUGAGCUCCAAGGGGUUUGGAGGACUGUGGUCUUCAAGAUAACAAUUAAGGUAUUCUAUUCGCAUGAAAAAGGAAGGAUUAGAUAAUGAAAGAGGAGCAGUAUCUGUCAUAGCUGAAAAUAGACAGAAAGAUAGUUAAAGAGUGAGACUUGAAUAAGGGUUUCUGUCUACUGAAAUGUUAUCAAAUGCUCAUAAAAAUUUUAAAUAUACUUUUAAAUAGAACAUCUGAAAAAUUUUAAAUAUACCUUUAAACAGAAUGUCUGAAAAAUUUUAAAUAUACUUUAAAAUAGAACAAUUAAAUAUAAUACUUUGUAUCCUUGCUGUGAGAGUAAAACUGUGCCAUUUAAAAUUGAGUCACUACUGUUAAAAUAGUCACCACUGUUAAAAUAGAGUUAAAAUAUUUCAAUCAAAUAUUUAUAUUUCAAAUAAUUUUGACGAUAAUAGUAUAGCUUUGGCAAGGAGUUGAGUACAACCAGUGAUUUAAAAAAAUCACAAGAUUAUAUUGUUGAAAAUUUUAAAAUGCUAAAUCAAUAAAAGAAAUUUUAAAAGUUAGAUUUAAAAAGUCUUGAAUAGAUUUGUUUCUUGAAGACAAAUACAUGUUUUUACUCACUGAUAUUUGCAUGAAAUCUAGUAUAUAGGAGAGAGUCAAACAUCUUUUUUAUCUUGAAUUUAAAAUAAUUCUAAUUUAAGUAUAGUCUCACAUUCAGCAUAAUCUUUUCUUUUACAUUUUCGAUGAUGAAUUUUAAAUAACCACCUGACAACUAAUAUACUGUUAUAUACUUCUUUUAAGUCAUAGUACAUAAAUACAUAUUUAAACACACAUAUUUAAAUUUGAAAGGUCAGUAUGUGUGUGGAGUCAAAAAUGUGGUAAAGAUAAUUGUUACAUAUUGUUUAUAUUUAAGAGUUGGUGGCUCAUGGGCAGAAGAAUUAAUUUUGAAUGUACUAACUUUUGUGCAUGUAAAUUUACAGACUUCAGCAUAUUUUGAUUAUUGAAUAAAGCUUUAUGCCCUUUGGAACUUAAUUAUCUGAAUGACAGGUUUUUCUCACAUACAUUAUGUCAUCUCAUCAUAUUUUCAAACUUCAUAAGUUAGUUCCUUUAAAUAAUCAGGCAAUUUUUUUUUAAAUGGCAAGCCAGUUACAUUGCUAACCACUUGUUCAAUUUAAAAGGUUGUUGGAGAGAUGUUAUUAAAAUUCUGGGAUAAUCCUGCAUUAACGCUGAUUUUGACAGCUUUUUAGU
rnacentral:lncRNA from 1 species